rnacentral:rRNA from 1 species
UCGCCUGUUUAUCAAAAACAUAGUUUUAUGAUAUUAUAUAAAAUAUUUUCUGCCCAGUGUCACAGAUAAAUGGCCGCAGUACCUUGACUGUGCUAAGGUAGCAUAAUCAAUUGGCUUUUAAUUGAAGUCUAGAAUGAAUGGGAUAAUGGAAUUUAGCUGUCUUGAUUUUUUUAAUAAAAAUUUAUUUACAAGGUGAAAAUACCUUGAAAAAUAAUAAAGACGAGAAGACCCUAUGAAUUUUUAAAUUUUUUUUGUUGGGGCGACAGUUUAAAAGAAAAAUCUUAAAUUUUGAAUAUAUAACGAUUUUUUUAAUAAAAAUUAAAUUACCUUAGGGAUAACAGCAUUAUUAUAUUAAUAGUUUGUGACCUCGAUGUUGGACUAGGAACUAAAAGGCUAACCGUCUUUAUAGAUUUGUUCUGUUCGAACAAUAUUAUCCUACGUGAUCUGAGUUCAGACCGGA